UACAUGCAAUAUUUGUUUUAUUAUACUGAAUGUUAUGUAAACAACAAAGUAGAAAAACUUACGUCUGUUGACAUUUAAUCAAUCACUAUCAUGCAAUGUUUUGUAUAUCGAUGCAGUAUUCGCAUUUAUUAUAAACGUUCAAACGACAUCGUCUAUCAAUCUACGAUGAACUGUAUGUAUAUAAAUUUGACGCAUGUGAACAUUUUUAUAACAUCACCCGUUGUCAAGGGGUGGAUCUGAUAGAUCUAUGAUGUGAGGGGUGGAUCUGAUAGAUCUUUGAUAUGAGGGGUGGAUCUGAUAGAUCUGUGAUAUGAGGGGUGGAUCUGAUAGAUCUGUGAUAUGAGGGAUGGAUCUGACAGAUCUAUGAUAUGAGGAGUGGAUCUGAUAGAUCUGUAAUAUGAGGGGUGAGUCUGAUAGAUCUAUGAUAUGAGGGAUGGAUCUGAUAGAUCUAUGAUAUGAGGAGUGGAUCUGAUAGAUUUGUGAUAUGAGGGGUGGAUCUGAUAGAUCUGUGACAGGGCUCGAAAUUAACAUAUGCCCGUCAGUCUGUGACUGGUUAAAAGUCUGGCGGACUGACUGAUAUUUGUUUUAGUCAGUCUGAUGCGACUGGUUAAUUUCCUAAAGCAUCAUUUUGGAAAAUAUACUUAUGAAAUUUUAUACACACAUUUAGCAUGCUUCGAUCUGUAGAUAUCAGACGAAUCUGAUUCGUAAAUAUAAAUCCCACAUUUAAGUGUUACAAUAUUGUCUGAGGCAUAUUGAGUUAAAUUUCAUUUUAAUAACAUUAACGAAAUAUGUUUAAUUAUUUCUGGAAAACUCUGUUCGACUGGUAAAUUUUUCUGCGGACUGGUUGAAAUUAUACCCCAUCAGUCCUGCUGGACUGGUGACAUAAAAAGUUAGCUUCAAGCCCUGUAUGAUAUGAGGGAUGGAUCUGAUAGAUCUGUGAUAUGAGGAGUGGAUCUGAUAUAUGAGGGGUGGAUCUGAGAUAUGAGGAUUUGGGGGACAUGCACGUUCUUUGUACUUUCUAAUCCACACAUGUAUUACUAUAUUUAUUAAUUGUAUUCCUUAGCAGUGGCCAUUUUAUACCCUCUCACACUGAUUUGAAAUACGACUUUUGUCUGUCCAUUUUCUUUAGUGAUUAGUCUCUUAAUUACACUCAAUUGAUUUUAGGUUUCGGUACAAGGCACCGGUGAUUUUUAUAGUAGAAUAGCAGUAAAAUAACUAUUAUAGUUGAAAUAUGGAUCAUAAAAAAAAAAAUAAAACACAUAUCUAAAAUUAUAGAUCGCCAAUAUCUUUAUGUUGUUGGGGGAAAACACAGGAAGGAAAAUGUUUUUAUGGUCCAGUGAUUGGGUGCGUGUGCACACACUUGGUCAACAAGGCAGUCUUCAGGGAGAACGGAAAGUUUAAGGCAAUAACGUAUCGAAUUUGAUUGUUUUUGACAUUGUCUCUUUGUGGGAAAAAAUAUGAAGGAUGAAUGACACACAUCUGUCACAAUAUUUCAAAGGAAUUGCAUUACAAUUACAUGUUAAACAUUAGUAAUACAUUCCUUAUCACUUUAAUAUACUGGUUUCAAGAUACAUCUGAGUUAUUUCCCUUUGGAGAACUGUCAUACAUAGUAAGGCGUGAAACAAUUUGUUUACAUGCAGGAGUGGGACAAAUUCAUCACUGCAUAAGUGAAUGUAUACUCAGUAAGUUUAUCAUACGCAGUUUCAUCACCUGAUAUUACUUGCAAAUAUGACAUUGUUUUUAUGUGUCCACUUUAGUAAAAUACUUCUUCCAAUACUAUUUUGUGUUUCCUACAUUUACAUAUAAUUAAAGACAUUUGAAAUACAUUUUAUCACCUUCCUCACUGACUGUAGGUCCACUCUGUCCCACUUAGGCAUUUAUUGUUGUUCGUCCUUCGUUGAAGGUGACCAUGACAUGUAGUGUCUAGUUGAAGUGGUGCGGUGUGUCCGGAGGUGGUUGAUAAGACCUAUCUGAGCAAAGAAGUCUCUCCCACAGCUAGGACAGAAGUGGGUAGGCACUGUGCUGUUGGUACUGGUGGCUCUAGCCUUGUGCGCUGUACGGUUCUGCUCAGCUUGAAGGGACCUACGCUCCUCUGCUGUGUUGGCUUCUUUUGUGAUGUGAUGGAGUCAGGAGGGUCUGUCUGAGGUGGUUGACUCCCAGGUCUCGGUGCUGAUGUUGAAGUCUUUUAGUGAAACCUUCAGACUGUCUUUAAAGCGCUUCCUCUGCCCUCCAACUUUGCGCUUGCCUUCAAUGAGUUCACCAUAGAGGAGUUGUUUUAGUAUGCGGUUGUCUGGCAUUCGGGAGACCUGGCUUGCUCAUCUCAGUUGGGUCUUAUGCAUGGUGGUGAUGGUGCUAGGCAAAUUGGCCCGCCUAAGAACCUCCGUGUUGGGGAUUUUGUCCUGCCAGCGGAUGUGAAGGAGGUUUCGAAGGCAUCUGAAGUGGAAGAGAUUUAGCAGCUUUUCAUGUUGUCUGUAUGGUGUUCAGGUCUCAGAGCCAAAGAGGAGGGUGGUGAGGACCUCUACCCGAUAGACUUUCAGCUUCGUCUCAAGUUUGAUUCCUCUCCCAAACAUUCUUCCACAGUCUACCAAAAACGCUGCUUGCCUUUGCAAUUCUGUUGCUGAUUUUAGCAUCAAUGUUGGCCUUGUGGGAGAUGGUGCUGCCGAGGUAGGUGAAAGUCUCAACUGCCUUGAAAGUGUCCAUUCACCAAAAUGUGCAGCUCAUGGUACUGGUUGCCUGGGGCUGGCUAGAACAUCACCUCGGUCUUCUUGGUGCUUAUGGUGAGACCGAAGUUGUCGCAGGCUGUGAAGAAGCUGUCCAAUUUCGCUUAUAUCUCUUGCUCAUCACUGGCAUUGAGGGUGCAGUCCUCAGCGAAAAGAAAGUCUCUGAGAACAGUCUCCUUCACUUCCAUGACGGCCUGUAGAUGCCUGAGGUUAAACAGCUUUCCAUCUGUCUUGAACCUGAUGUUGAUGCCAGGAUCAGUGUCUUUGAAGGCGUCGGACAGCAUUGCUGAAAACAUCAGGCUGAACGGUGUUGGGGCCAAGACACAACCCUGUAUUACCCCAUUUGACACUGGGAAGGCUUCGGAGGGUUCACCAUCAUUCAGGACUUGGGCCAUCAUGGAAUUGACCGGACAAUAGCAAUGAAUGUACUUGGGCAGCCAAACUUUUCCAUGAUUUUCUAGAGUCUGUCUUGGCUGACUGUAUCGAAGGCUUUGAUCAAGUCUAUGAAAGUCGGGUAUAGGUUAGUGUUCCAUGCACUUUUCUUGGAGUUGACGGGUGGCAAAUAUCAUAUCCGUUGUUUCUCGACUUGCACGGAAGCCGCACUGACUUUCAGGGAGAAAUCCCUGCUCAAGGUGUUUCAGCAAGCAGUUGAGGAGGACGCAGGCAAUUAGGCUCAUCUGCUAUCGACAGGAGGGAUAUUCCUCGGUGGUUGUCGCAUGACUGAUGAUUCCCUUGGUGCUUGUAGAUGUGGACAGUCAUGGCGUUUCUGAACUCAUGGGGUAAAUGCUCUUGGUUCCACAUGACCUCAUACAGACUUGUCAGUAGAUUGCAGAUGGGUUUGCCACCUGUCUUGUAAACCUCAGCAGGGAUGGCGUCAGGGUCAGGAGCUGUCAGGGUCAGGAGCUUUCCCGCUGGUCAUGUGCUUAGUAGCUUUGCUGACUUCUUCGUUAGAGGGAGGGGUGUCGAGCUCUUGGUUGAUUAUCACUUGUGGGAGGCGUGGGAUUGUUUCAUCAUUGAUGGCUGCAGGGCGAUUGAGCAUGUUGUCGAAGUGUUCGACCAAUCUCUCAAGGAUUUGCUUCUUGUCUGUUAGUAGGGUUGUACCAUCUGUGCUGAGUAGGGGGAGGAUCCAGAGGAUUGUGGUCCAUAGACUGCUUUCAAGGCAUCAUAGAACUUCUUCAAGUCAUGUGGGUUGGCGUAGCCUUGGAUUUCUUCGGCCUUAGUACCGCACGAGCCAGGAAUUCUGCAUGGAGCAAAGCUUUGACUGGACUUCAUUGCGUUUGCCGGUUAAGGCAGCUCUUUGAAUCGUUUGUGGUAUCGUUCAAAGUUCAUUCAAAGGCAUUCAAAGUUCCAUUAAAUGCACCUCCUAAACAGAAGAGCUCUUAUCUUGAAACUGGUGUAUUAUUCUGGUUAACUCAGUGGCUGAGAAUGCCUUUCUGUAGAUUAUGAGUUUGAGUCCUGUAUAGGGGAGUCAUACUAUUCUGAUAUGGCACAGUGCUUUUGUCUAUCUCAUAUCUGUCCAUCUGUCAGCACAUGCGGCCCAGAUAAAAAAAGCACUUAUACAUACUUACCCAAAUCUUACUUACUAAGGCUGUAUAAGGCUAGAAUCACCAAACUUAGUACACAUUUCUCUAUGACUAGAGGAAGGAGUCUGUUGUUUUUAAAGGUCAAGGUCAUACUCACGUUGGGUAAAUUUAACACAAAACAACAUACCAUGGAAACAGUAUUAUUAAGUCUAGGGUAAGUUAUUCACAAAAUCUUAUAGAGAAAGGUUUAUUUGGAUGUUAAUCCUUUCUUUGGCUUUAAUGUUGCACUAGUGACUACUGGUAACAUUAAUAAACUGCUAUAUUCAUGAGAUGAUUCUGUUUUAUUAUUGCUUAUGGAAUUCGUGAAAAUAUUUCCCAGCAUUAUAAAUUACUGUACGUAUACAGUGGAGCCUCGUUAAUCCGGACACUUUGGUUCCCAGCAAAAUCGUCCGGAUAAAUGAAGCGUCCGGAUAAUUGAAUCGCAUAUUUUCUAGCUUUGCAUAAGUAGCCAAUAUAUGCCUACAAUAUUGAUGCAUAGUGAAUUAAACACAUUCUAUCAUUGGAUUUAACCAUUUGUAUUAGUAAAUAAAUUAUUAUAAUGUUAACAUUUACAUGUAUUUCAAAGCACUAAAAUUUAGUGUACGUGUUCAGUGCAUUUGCCUGUGCUUACAUUGUACAUACAUAUGAUCCCUACAAAAAGAUAUACAAAACUGUGUACCGUAUGCACUAAAACAAAUAAUGAAGCACUUUAUGUAACUAUAAGUAAUUAAAUCAUUAGCAACUAACAUAAUCAUUUACACUUCAAAUAUUUCAUCACACUUUUACUUCUUAAAGAGGCUGGUAAUUUCCAUCUGUCACAAUUCAUGGGUUCGGUGGUCUGUUAAAACAAUCUUCAUCGUCCAAAGUUGAUAUAAGAAUUUCGUGAUUAUCAUGUCAGUUGACAACAUUCUUUAACCAAAAUUCAAUCUGCCAGACUUUAUAUUUCUUAUUCUAUAAUUAUCCAAGACAAUAUCAGGAGAACAAAAUCAUUUAAGCUCGUAAUAUUAAGACCUACUACUGCUUUGAUCUAGUCACGCGUACUUAUUAUUUUCAUGAUGCGAUAAUAACGGAACAAAACUCGGGUGAAAUUAACAUUACAGGUACAUACAGAAUUUAAUUGUCAUUUUCCUUAAAAUGGUAAUUUUCUCACUUCUACGCAGAGUUUAAAAAUUCGAAAGCAAUAAAGCUCUACAACAUCGUGACAAGAAUCAAUCGUACACAGGUACAUUCUACAUGCGCGACAUUCUAAACGUUAAAGACUUAUACUAUAUAUAUAUAUAUAUAUGUGCAUGAACUUACAUGUAUAUUUCACGCCAAUCAACAGAAUAAAAUCCAGAAUCUAGAAGUAUGAUCUACACUCUUUGGAUUUGAAUAAGCCGAUAUCAAUUUACGAAUCAGUACAACUGAUACGUGUAGCAGUUAAAAAAAUUAUUAUUACGGCAUGAUGUUUAAUUUAUUAAUACGAUUAGGGUAUUGAUCAUGACUAUAAAAUAAUAUGCUACAGAUUUAUUUACAAAAUUCAACACUACACGCCAUAAAGAUCUUAUGUGCGAAAAUUGGCAAUACAAUGUCUCAAUCGGCACAUGCUAUCUAACGGACUUAUCAUCACACACCACCUAAUUGGAGGGAGGUGUUGACAGGGUACAGGUAAUCGCUUCAAUUAGACAGUUUGGCUUGUUUUCUUUAUAAUUUACACCUUGCUAAAAUUGUCCGACACAGACCUUCCCUAAACAAAAUUACCGUCCGGAUUAACGGUACAAUUUUCAAUGCAUUAUAACGUUUUGUAGUAAAAAGUGACCGUCCGGAUCCGGAACAUGAAUUUCCGGAUUAAUGAUGCAAAAUAAUGUAUAAAAAUUCCGUUCUCUAGAAAAAUAGUCCGGAAGGUGAAGCGUCCGGAUUAAUGGCGUCCGGAUUACCGAGGCUCCACUGUAAGCUUAAAAUUAUUUAUAAAUGUAUCAAAACCAUUUAGGGAUUGAUAUUCUGUACAGAUUUUGUAUCACUUUUUGUGUACAGAUUUUUACUCAAAAUCAUGCGCUUUUAAAGCCACUGUACAGAUUUGUGGUUGAAAGAUUACCGAUACCACAUGUAUGUAAAUGUCUUACGUAGCAGGAGAAUGUUUAACAAGAGUCCACUGACCAUACUCUGUGUAAAUGACUUUGUUACCUGUAAUUUUUAUAUGCUCUAGGACUGUAUGGAAACACCUGUUGCAUACCUUAACUUUGCCAUCAAAGCAGAUUGAUUUUAAUUCUACUUUAUGCAGCAAGUAUCAACAUUUGAGAAACAAUCAAUACAAACAAUAUCUGCCACAUCUACAGAAAACAAAGCCUGAUUUUGUUAUUAUGUAGUCAUAGAUCAAUAUAUUUAUCUAUAACAAAGCCUGAUUUUAUAUUAUAUAGUCACAGAUUGAAUAUAUUUAUAUAUAAAAAAGCCUGAUUUUAUAUUAUAUAGUCACAGAUUGAAUAUAUUUAUCUAAAACAAAAGCCUGAUUUUAUUAUUUGUAAAUCUAUAGAUUUAUAUAGAAUACAUUAGUGCUUCUGAAACAAGCAUGGGCACAUUUUUAUGAUUGACCCCCCACCCCCCCAUGAACAAUUUAGACAUUUAUUCAUUUUAUAAUAAGUUGGAAGAUCUUUUAUCAAAAAAUGGAACAGUGAAUUUUUUUUUUGUGGUUUGGAGAAAACAUUGAUAAAUGUGAAUAUUGCUGACUGGUCAGAAUAGUAUGUAUUUGUACACCCCUUCCUGAUUUUUUUUUUUUGGGCAUGCAUUUAUAGAUAGAUAUCUUAACUACAAAACCUUACCUCUGUGCAAUUUUCUAGAUGAGAAUCUGCAUUUUCAUGCAGAUAGAUGGUAUUCAGUACCGGAUCUCUGCUUUUUAUGGAUAAAACAUUCAGUGCAUUUGAUAUCUCUAUGUCAGUACUUACAGAGUUUGAUAUCAUGGUACCUACUAUUACAGUUUAUUGUACGUUUCUACACAAUGGUUACACAGUCAUUAAUCAUUGAAUUAAUAAAUACAUAUGAAGCAGUACCUCCUCAGUAUCUUCAUAAUUGCAGGGAAAUAGAUAUGUAGUGACAUUUGCUGUCGAAUGUGAAGAUCAAGAAUAUUAACAAACUUUGCUCAGCCUAUAAAACAGCAAACUUUGCAACCAGAAAAUGAAAGGUUCAGUCGUUGAGGAAGCAUGAAUUAUCAGCAAUAAAUUGAGCUGAUAGAAUUCACAUCAAAUGCACUCUAUUUGUUCAUAUGGGAGUCUAGAAUGGUUGAAACAUUGUAAAUCGAAUCCUAGAACCUGUAGCAGUGUUCACAGAGUCCAUUUAUAAGAUAAUAUUUCUUGGAGGGACUCUGAAGUAAAAACCACAGGCCCUGUAGAUAUUAAUCAUUUUAAAUUAUCCUUUUACAGAAUUAUAAUGAUUUUUUUCUUUGUUGGAUUUUGAACAGUACUUCCCUAUGCUGCAAUAUCAGAGAUAAGUAUGAUGGUUUUAUCAUGCGAUAUAAUAAGAAGUAAUUUCCUGAUUCUGACAGAGAUGUUAAAUUGUUUUUAUAUGGAGCAAACACUGACUAGCAGCUUAUUAGCCACAAUUUUCUGUACUGUUAGUUUACAUUUGAAGUACGAGUGCACUUUUGAGGGAACCAGUCCACACUCGAUUAGUUUGUCAUCUGGUUUGUGGUGCUCUCAUUUGCAUGUAACGAAGCUCUGAUACUGAGAGGCAGUCAAUAUUUUAAGAUCCCAAUGUCAGAUAAAUCAAGGAAAAUUAAUUUUUUUCCCUUUCACUCUAUCAGGAAAAUCCAUGCAUUAAAAAUAUGUAAUGAAUCUAUAGGAAAUCUAUGCUGGCAAUCAAUUCAUAUAGUGAUGAAGCACAUUUAACUAGCCACAGGGGAGAGGUGUUGCAAGUUCAGUAUUAGUGUAUUGGACAUAUUAAGCCUGUCCUCUCGCAACAGAAGUAGUAGCAACAGAAGUAGUAGCACGUGUGAUGUCAAGCUAAUUAGCUAUAGAAAUGCCCGGCACAGGCAGUGAUAUGUUACCUGGGACUGGUCCGAUUGAUUCCAAGUGUUACUACAGCUUGGUCACAGCCUGGACUAUAUCAGACAACGUAUAGGAUUGUUUUUGGUCUCUGAGGACAGUUUUUCAUUUCCUACUCUGCUGUAAGAUAAUGAUAAAAUUUUGAGAUAGGGAGACAGACUUCCGGAUUGACACUUGUUUCAGUGUAAAUUACAACUGUUAACAAUCUUUUAAGUGACUCUGUGUGUGAAUUAGUAAGGAAAUGCUGGAGGGAAGAGGGACCAUGACUUACUGAGUUUUGUAAGAGCGAGGGGGGUAUGUAUUCUGGACAGCCAGGGUACAGCGGAGUGGACCCGUAUGCCAUCAAUCGAGGUCAUGUGUACCAAACUGGUGUCCCCUGGAACUCGAUGGGAUAUUACACCUGGUAGUUUAGAACUGUGUGCAUUGGUUUUGGAAGAAUUUGGGCUGUUUAGGCUAAAAUCCAUUAUGAUUGGACAGAAUAUGAACACACACAUCCAAUACUUCAAAGAUAUUAUGUUUGUGGAGGCAGAGAUUUUGAUUGCAUCCACUGUUUAGAAUACAUCCUUAAGGGAAGCAGACUGCCGCCUUUACCCAAUGAUAUAAUGAUUAAUCAUAACUAUAUCUGUUUUGUACCAAAUAGAAAGAGCAUUGAUUCAGGUCAUUUUCAAAUCCACUGGCAUACAUUGUACUAUACAUGCAACCUUUUCAAACUUUACAUUUAAGAUUUUAUAAAGGAAAUAUCUUAAUGUUUCACAUGUUUACCUUUCACUGUGCUAUGUAAUUCAUUAUACCUGCCAUUAUGCCAGUCUUCCUGAACAUAAUUUGUUUUCUGCAAUUUCAUUGGCCAAGAGGCUUAAUCCUGGGUUAUCAGAUUGAGCAUUUAUAUUUAGUAUCCCAUUGAUUUUGUCAGCCCUAUAUAAGGAGCUGACUCAGAUUUACUCACUCUGCUAGGUUAAAGAACUCUAAGGUUUGUACUUUUCACAUGAAUUUCGUGUUCGCCUCUUAUCUUUUACAUAGAGUAGGAAAUGAACAUAACAUUGAGUUAGGGAACUAUUUAGAUUUUACAUUAUAAUAUGUAAAUACCUUAGCAGAGUCAAUUUACUUGGUUCAGGGUAGUAUCAGAUAUUACUUUUUCAGAGUUUAAGUGUUUAGGCUAUCUCAAUGUUUCUAUAGUUAGCCUUGUCCUAUGUUACUUUUAGAUGUAUGGAAGCCUUUUAGUGUUAUAACACUAUAUUUAUGCCCCCAUUCAAAGAAGAGGGACAUAUUGGUUUGCACCUGUUGGUCGGUCGGUAGACCACAUGUUGUCCGCUUAAUAUCUUAAGAACCAUUCACUUGAUCGUAAUAUAUUUCAUAUGUGGGUUGGUUAUGAAAAGAAGAGGACCCCAAUUGUUUUUCAGGUCGAAAUGUCAAGGGUCAAUCUACUCUGGACAUAGGAAGACACUGCCUGCUCAAUAUCUUGAGAACCCUUUGCUUGACAGACAUCAAACUUGGUACACUGGUACAUCUCAAGGAGUAGAUUUAAGGUCAUAUGGUCAAAGGUCAAGGGGUAAACUGGACAUAGUAAUAUAUUGUCUCUUAUGUUUUAAGAAUUAUUUGCUUGAUUGACACCAAACCUGGUACAGCAUAAGGAGUAGAUGACCCCUAUUGAUUUUUAGGUCACUUGGUCAAUCCACUCCUGACAUAGGAAGAUAUUGUUUGCUCAAUAUUUCGAAUUGAUGAUACUACUAUCAAUCAAAUUAUGCAUAUGUAUAACCCUUUUCAAUUUUGCACCAUGGGGGCUUAUAUGUAAUUGUUUUACAAACACCUCAUGUUGUAUAGUUUGUGAAAGCUUGUUAGGGUCAUAACUUUAGAUUUUCUUAUUAUGGUACUUGCCCGUCAGAGACUGGACAUAUUAUGGUAUGGUGUUGUCUGUCCGGACCUUGUAAGAUGGGAUACAGACUGAACCGUAAGCUCUAGAAUCUUACAACUUGGUACAUUUGAUCACCAUAAAAGGAAGAUGCUUAUUGUUUUUUAAGGUCAAGGUUGUAGGUUCACUUAAUAGGAAAACCUUGUUUGAGAAAAUUACAGAUUCUUGAACUGAGUAUUUUGAGGAAACAUUACAUAGAAAGUACAUGAUUUGUCAAAUUUCUCCCAAUAUUCAACUGAGAACCUUAUUCUGCAGAGUAUUUGUAUGGGUAUGGAAAAUGUGUAUGUGGCUAUGAUUUUGAUUUUUGUUAAAAAUUUUGUUGUUGAAAAUUACAGGUUUAACCGAGUCAGUUUUUGAGGAAAUAUACAUGUAUUAAAUAAAUGACGGUUUGACCUUUUAACUCCUCUCACAGUUUUGAAGCUAGGGUCUUUGUAAAUAACUUCUUUGGUGUUUUAGAAUAUUUACAGAUUGUUGAUCAUGGUCAAUUUUGGGGAAAUAUUUUCUGCAGAGCUCUAGUUGUCUAUCUACCGGCCUCCUGUCACUUUUAAGUUUAGGAGCUUUUAUUCAUGGAAAGAAAGUAUGUGACAACCUGAUGAUGGCUGAUACUAUUUAAAGCCUUUUUAUACGCCCGUCUUAAGAUGGGACGUAUUAUGGUAUGGCGUUCAUGUCCGUCCGUCUGUUAGCUUUUUCGUGUCCGACCCGUAACUUAAAUACUACAAGGCCUAGAAUCAUCAAACUUUGUCUGUAGAUACAUCUUGGGUAGAAGGUGUGUCGCACAUUAAAACCAGGUCACUGUGACUUUUCAUUAAGAAGAUAUCCGUCUGUCCAUCCGUCUGUUAGCUUUUUCGUGUCCGACCUGUAACUUAAAUACUACAAGGCCUAGAAUCAUCAAACUUUGUAGAUACAUCUUGGGUAGAAGGUGUGUCACACAUUAAAACCAGGUCACUGUGACUUUUCAUUAAGAAGAUAUCCGUCUGUCCGUCCGUCUGUUAGCUUUUUCAUGUCCGACCCGUAACUUAAAUACUACAAGGCCUAGAAUCAUCAAACUUUGUCUGUAGAUACAUCUUGGGUAGAAGGUGUGUCGCACAUUAAAACCAGGUCACUGUGACUUUUCAUUAGGAAGAUAUGGCCAUAUAUGGCAAAAACUUGUCCGACUCAUAACUUGAAAACUAUUAGACCUAGAAUCACCAAAAUUGGUCAACUAAUGCAUCUUAGGUAGAAGGUGUGUUGCAUCCUACUUUAAGGUCACUGUGACAUUUAAUUAAGGUGAUAUAAAAAAAAUGUUUUAAUGGGUACAAUCUAUACUGUUAACAAUAUGUGACGGGCAUAUCAUGUGCCAUGGCGGUGCACUUUAUUCUAGAAAUGGCAUCAGAAAAACACCCUAUGUAACCUUUUCUGCUUGUACUCAUUUAUUUUUAUUGGAAAACUUAUUACUUGUUAUCAGCUACUCUAAAACAAUAUUGACUUGUGCUAUAAUAAAUUUGUAAACUUUA